rnacentral:rRNA from 1 species
GACGAACGCUGGCGGCGUGCUUAACACAUGCAAGUCGAACGGAAAGGCCCUGCUUUUGUGGGGUGCUCGAGUGGCGAACGGGUGAGUAACACGUGAGUAACCUGCCCCUGACUUUGGGAUAACUUCAGGAAACUGGGGCUAAUACCGGAUAGGAGCUCCUGCUGCAUGGUGGGGGUUGGAAAGUUUCGGCGGUUGGGGAUGGACUCGCGGCUUAUCAGCUUGUUGGUGGGGUAGUGGCUUACCAAGGCUUUGACGGGUAGCCGGCCUGAGAGGGUGACCGGCCACAUUGGGACUAAGAGACGGCCCAGACUCCUACGGGAGGCAGCAGGGGGGAAUAUUGCACAAUGGGCGGGAGCCUGAUGCAGCAACGCCGCGUGCGGGAUGACGGCCUUCGGGUGGUAAACCGCUUUCGCCUGUGACGAAGCGUGAGUGACGGUAAUGGGUAAAGAAGCACCGGCUAACUACGUG